rnacentral:misc_RNA from 1 species
ACUCUUCAACCCUCCAUUUCCUCGUUUGAAAUGUUUUGAGGUGAUUGGAUUUUGAGUACUUGCUUUUUUAUCAAAAUUAGCUUACUCGUAAUACAUUAGCAUAAUUCAACUUCGAACUCGGAUUGACUCGGCGUAAUAGACUAUUCGCUGAGGACAUUGAGAAUUAAUUUUCUCUAAUGGCCGACUUUAGACGAUUUGAAUAGCUUCAAAUACUAUAAACCUUUUUUAAG